GGAAUAUUGGGCAAUGGACGCAAGUCUGACCCAGCCAUGCCGCGUGCAGGAUGACGGCCCUAUGGGUUGUAAACUGCUUUUGUACGGGAAGAACCCCUUCGAUUCUUCGGAGGCUGACGGUACUGUACGAAUAAGCAUCGGCUAACUCCGUGCCAGCAGCCGCGGUAAUACGGAGGAUGCAAGCGUUAUCCGGAUUUAUUGGGUUUAAAGAGUGCGCAGGCGGAAUGGUAAGUCAGUGGUGAAAUCUCCCGGCUCAACCGGGAAACUGCCGUUGAUACUGCCGUUCUAGAGUACAGUUGGGGUGGGCGGAAUGUGUCAUGUAGCGGUGAAAUGCUUAGAUAUGACACAGAACACCGAUCGCGAAGGCAGCUCACCAAGUCGUAACUGACGCUCAUGCACGAAAGCGUGGGGAUCGAACA
rnacentral:rRNA from 1 species